UUUGGGAUCAGCUUCAAGUAAUAUCAGACAAGUUGUGGUCAUGAUCCAAUAUUUUCAUAAUAUACUUUGAAAUUAGCAUUGCAGGAGUAUUGGUGAAAAUAUUUGUAGUCAUCCUCAUAUAAUGUGUCAUGAUUGAAAUACAAAUGUAAUGCUUUUUCAUCCAUGUUGGCCUUAUCUCGUACCAUUAACUGCUCUCAGACCUGCUGAUCAGGGUGAAAUUCAAUGGUGAACAAAAAUAUGUCAAGAUCAUUGACCUGACACUUGAAGACCAUUUUAUUGGAGCUUUCCUGAAAUUUGAGAUCCCACUUACUAGUUUAUCAGAGGCAAAGCUGUAUGAUGGGUCUGUAACUGAAAUUCAUGGGGAUGUGUUUGAGGAGUUGGUGACACGGCCAGAUCUUGGUGUUUUCAAGCUCACACUGAACAAUGAUGCUAAAGAAUCUUCCCUGAUGAGUCCUGUCUCUGCCAGUUCCGUGAUGGGUGGUUCAGACCAUGAGUCAGUUGUUACAAUCAUUUAGAGCGAGGAUGGAAGCCCCUCACGAAAGCGUCAAAGAUCUAAUGACGAAGCAAAAAAUUUACGUUUGUAAUUCAUUCUUCAAUUCAAGUGGCAUCAAAUGGAUUUUUCACUGCUGUUUUUUUUUUUACAGCUAAUAGAGAGCAUACUGAAGAAAUAGCCUGGUGGAGAGGUUGUCAUCAAGGAAUACUACAAAACUAAAAGCCUGACUGACUGCACCAGACGAAAGAUGAUCAACAUUCUUGUUUCGGCGAUGACAGAGACUCAUGGGACAUCACCACCGCGCAGUGUGAGAGAAACAUUUGCACAAGGCAUCGUCUCCUUGUUCCCAUACCUGAAGGAUCCCUACACCGCAAAUGGAUAUGUAAGUAUACAUUACAACUGAUG